rnacentral:rRNA from 1 species
AUUGAACGCUGGCGGCAUGCCUUACGCAUGCAAGUCGAACGGCAGCGGACCUUCGGGUGCCGGCGAGUGGCGAACGGGUGAGUAAUAUAUCGGAACGUACCUUUCAGUGGGGGAUAACGUAGCGAAAGUUACGCUAAUACCGCAUAUUCUGUGAGCAGGAAAGCAGGGGAUCGCAAGACCUUGCGCUGAUUGAGCGGCCGAUAUCAGAUUAGCUAGUUGGUGAGGUAAAGGCUCACCAAGGCGACGAUCUGUAGCGGGUCUGAGAGGAUGAUCCGCCACACUGGAACUGAGACACGGUCCAGACUCCUACGGGAGGCAGCAGUGGGGAAUUUUGGACAAUGGGCGCAAGCCUGAUCCAGCCAUGCCGCGUGAGUGAAGAAGGCC